UGGGGAAUUUUGGACAAUGGGCGAAAGCCUGAUCCAGCAAUGCCGCGUGUGUGAAGAAGGCCUUCGGGUUGUAAAGCACUUUUGUCCGGAAAGAAAUGGCUCUGGUUAAUACCUGGGGUCGAUGACGGUACCGGAAGAAUAAGGACCGGCUAACUACGUGCCAGCAGCCGCGGUAAUACGUAGGGUCCAAGCGUUAAUCGGAAUUACUGGGCGUAAAGCGUGCGCAGGCGGUUGUGCAAGACCGAUGUGAAAUCCCCGAGCUUAACUUGGGAAUUGCAUUGGUGACUGCACGGCUAGAGUGUGUCAGAGGGGGGUAGAAUUCCACGUGUAGCAGUGAAAUGCGUAGAGAUGUGGAGGAAUACCGAUGGCGAAGGCAGCCCCCUGGGAUAACACUGACGCUCAUGCACGAAAGCGUGGGGAGCAAACAGGAUUAGAUACCCUGGUAGUCCACGCCCUAAACGAUGUCAACUAGUUGUUGGGGAUUCAUUUCCUUAGUAACGUAGCUAACGCGUGAAGUUGACCGCCUGGGGAGUACGGUCGCAAGAUUAAAAGCUCAAAAU
rnacentral:rRNA from 1 species